CCUGCACGAAGUCGGAAUUGCUAGUAAUCGUAGGUCAGCAUACUACGGUGAAUACGUUCCCGGGCCUUGUACACACCGCCCGUCAAACCAUGAGAGUUGGCAACACCCGAAGUCGGUAGUCUAACCGCAAGGAGGACGCCGCCGAAGGUGGGGUUGAUGAUUAGGGUUAAGUCGUAACAAGGUACC
rnacentral:rRNA from 1 species